GACGAACGCUGGCGGCGUGCUUAACACAUGCAAGUCGAACGGAAAGGCCCUGCUUUUGUGGGGUGCUCGAGUGGCGAACGGGUGAGUAACACGUGAGUAACCUGCCCUUGACUUUGGGAUAACUUCAGGAAACUGGGGCUAAUACCGGAUAGGAGCUCCUGCUGCAUGGUGGGGGUUGGAAAGUUUCGGCGGUUGGGGAUGGACUCGCGGCUUAUCAGCUUGUUGGUGGGGUAGUGGCUUACCAAGGCUUUGACGGGUAGCCGGCCUGAGAGGGUGACCGGCCACAUUGGGACUGAGAUACGGCACAGACUCCUACGGGAGGCAGCAGUGGAGAAUAUUGCACAAUGGGCGGAAGCCUGAUGCAGCAACGCCGCGUGCGGGAUGACGGCCUUCGGGUUGUAAACCGAUUUCGCCUGUGACGAAGCGUGAGUGACGGUAAUGGGUAAAGAAGCACCGGCUAACUACGUG
rnacentral:rRNA from 1 species